GCCGGGCGUGGUGGCGCGCGCCUGUAAUCCAAGUCACUGGGAGGCUGAGGCUGGCGGAUCGUUUGAGCUCAGGAGUUCUGAGCUGCAGUGGACUAUGCCGAUCGGGUGUCCGCACUAAGUUCGGUAUCGAUAUGGUGCUCCUGAGGGAGCUCGGGACCACCAGGUCGUCUAAGGAGGGGUGCAACGGCCCAGGUCGGAAACGGAGCAGGCCAAAGCCCCCGUGCCGCUCAGUAGUGGGAUCGCGCCUGUGAAUAGACACUGUAGUGCAGCCUGAGUAAUACAGCGGGACUCAGCCUUUU
ensembl:misc_RNA Metazoa_SRP Metazoan signal recognition particle RNA